rnacentral:rRNA from 1 species
GACGAACGCUGGCGGCGUGCCUAAUACAUGCAAGUAGAACGCUGAAGAGAGGAGCUUGCUCUUCUUGGAUGAGUUGCGAACGGGUGAGUAACGCGUAGGUAACCUGCCUUGUAGCGGGGGAUAACUAUUGGAAACGAUAGCUAAUACCGCAUAACAAUGGAUGACACAUGUCAUUUAUUUGAAAGGGGCAAUUGCUCCACUACAAGAUGGACCUGCGUUGUAUUAGCUAGUAGGUGAGGUAAUGGCUCACCUAGGCGACGAUACAUAGCCGACCUGAGAGGGUGAGCGGCCACACUGGGACUGAGACACGGCCCAGACUCCUACGGGAGGCAGCAGUAGGGAAUCUUCGGCAAGGGGGGCAACCCUGACCGAGCAACGCCGCGUGAGUGAAGAAGGAUUUCGGAUCGUAAAGCUCUGUUGUAAGUCAAGAACGGGUGUGAGAGUGGAAAGUUCACACUGUGACGGUAGCUUACCAGAAAGGGACGGCUAACUACGUG